CCUGGUGAUUAUUGCGGAGCGCCCCCACCCGAUCCCAUUCCGAACUCGGUCGUGAAAGGCUCCAGCGCCGAUGGUACUGCAUCUUACGGUGUGGGAGAGUAGGUCGUUGCCAGGC
rnacentral:rRNA from 1 species